CUACAUGCAGUCGAGCGGACAGAAGGGAGCUUGCUCCCGGAUGUUAGCGGCGGACGGGUGAGUAACACGUGGGUAACCUGCCUGUAAGACUGGGAUAACUCCGGGAAACCGGAGCUAAUACCGGAUAGUUCCUUGAACCGCAUGGUUCAAGGAUGAAAGACGGUUUCGGCUGUCACUUACAGAUGGACCCGCGGCGCAUUAGCUAGUUGGUGAGGUAACGGCUCACCAAGGCGACGAUGCGUAGCCGACCUGAGAGGGUGAUCGGCCACACUGGGACUGAGACACGGCCCAGACUCCUACGGGAGGCAGCAGUAGGGAAUCUUCCGCAAUGGACGAAAGUCUGACGGAGCAACGCCGCGUGAGUGAUGAAGGUUUUCGGAUCGUAAAGCUCUGUUGUUAGGGAAGAACAAGUGCAAGAGUAACUGCUUGCACCUUGACGGUACCUAACCAGAAAGCCACGGCUAACUACGUGCCAGCAGCCGCGGUAAUACGUAGGUGGCAAGCGUUGUCCGGAAUUAUUGGGCGUAAAGGGCUCGCAGGCGGUUUCUUAAGUCUGAUGUGAAAGCCCCCGGCUCAACCGGGGAGGGUCAUUGGAAACUGGGAAACUUGAGUGCAGAAGAGGAGAGUGGAAUUCCACGUGUAGCGGUGAAAUGCGUAGAGAUGUGGAGGAACACCAGUUGGCGAAGGCGACUCUCUGGUCUGUAACUGACGCUGAGGAGCGAAAGCGUGGGGAGCGAACAGGAUUAGAUACCCUGGUAGUCCACGCCGUAACGAUGAGUGCCUAAGUGUUAGGGGGUUUCCGCCCCUUAGUGCUGCAGCUAACGCAUUAAGCACUCCGCCUG
rnacentral:rRNA from 1 species